AGCGAACGCUGGCGGCAGGCCUAACACAUGCAAGUCGAACGGAUCCUUCGGGAUUAGUGGCGGACGGGUGAGUAACACGUGGGAACGUGCCCUUUGGUUCGGAACAACCCAGGGAAACUUGAGCUAAUACCGGAUGUGCCCUUCGGGGGAAAGAUUCAUCGCCAUUGGAGCGGCCCGCGUCUGAUUAGCUAGUUGGUGAGGUAAAGGCUCACCAAGGCGACGAUCAGUAGCUGGUCUGAGAGGAUGAUCAGCCACAUUGGGACUGAGACACGGCCCAAACUCCUACGGGAGGCAGCAGUGGGGAAUCUUGCGCAAUGGGCGAAAGCCUGACGCAGCCAUGCCGCGUGAAUGAUGAAGGUCUUAGGAUUGUAAAAUUCUUUCACCGGGGACGAUAAUGACGGUACCCGGAGAAGAAGCCCCGGCUAACUUCGUGCCAGCAGCCGCGGUAAAAC
rnacentral:rRNA from 1 species